GCGGAUAUGUCGUUGUUGUAGUACAAUAAUCAUAACUAAGAUGAAAAAAAAUUGGAUUAAGUACAUGUAAAUAGGAAACGUUUUACAGUGAAAAAAAUAAUUAUAAUUAAUUUAAUUAUAAUAAUUUUCGGAUUGGCUGACAAUAACAAUAAAUUUGACAUAAAUUUAUGUGAUGUAAACAGCAAAAUUAGGCCGUUAAUUAAAAACAUAUUUGAUUUACAUUAAAAGAAAUGUGUUAAAGUAGAAAUUCUAACGUUAUUUUAACAGUAUUUUCUGCUUGUUUCAAUGCUGAUCUAUGAUACAUUGAUCAAAGAAUAUCUCCAGCAAGAAACAGUAAUAAUCUUUACUUGUUUAUUUAUUUAUAAAGAAGAACGGCAUUAUCUCAUAUAGAGAAAGAUAAUGGUUCUUUCAAAAGAACGAAAACAAACAUAAUAAUAAAAACAAUUAGGCGGCUUAAUUACUUAAAUCUUCGAAGUAGAAACUUGCUUCAAGUUAGACCUUAUAAUUAUUUAAGAAUCGAAUUAUGCUGUAGAACCUUUAAAGAGCUGAGAAAGAUAUACGAAAGUCGUCUCCAUUAAGAAGACGAGAAAAAUUAAUAAUAAUCCUUUUAGAAGAAGAAAAAAAAAACGAAUUUUUGAGUCAGCAAAAGCGAAAACUUACUGUCCCACAGGAUUCUACAGAUUCUGAAAUAUGA